UUAGGCGUUGUUGGGUAGGGGAGCGUUCUGUAAGCCGUUGAAGGUGGCCUGUGAGGGUUGCUGGAGGUAUCAGAAGUGCGAAUGCUGACAUAAGUAACGAUAAAGCGGGUGAAAAGCCCGCUCGCCGGAAGACCAAGGGUUCCUGUCCAACGUUAAUCGGGGCAGGGUGAGUCGACCCCUAAGGCGAGGCUGAAAAGCGUAGUCGAUGGGAAACAGGUUAAUAUUCCUGUACUUGGUGUUACUGCGAAGGGGGGACGGAGAAGGCUAGGCUAGCCGGGCGACGGUUGUCCCGGUUUAAGCGUGUAGGGGGUGUGACCUGGUAAAUCCGGUUGCAUAUCAACCCUGAGGCGUGAUGACGAUGCACUACGGUGCAGAAGUAGUUGAUGCCCUGCUUCCAGGAAAAGCCUCUAAGCUCUAGGUAACAUUGAAUCGUACCCCAAACCGACACAGGUGGUCAGGUAGAGAAUACCAAGGCGCUUGAGAGAACUCGGGUGAAGGAACUAGGCAAAAUGGUGCCGUAACUUCGGGAGAAGGCACG
rnacentral:rRNA from 1 species